rnacentral:lncRNA from 1 species
AUUUGUAGAAACAAAAUCAAUUCUUUGCACUUAAAGACGGAAUUUGGGACCGGUUUCGAAAGCUUCUAUUUUGGUUAAAGAAAAUUCAUGGUUCGAAGGAUGAUUGGCGUGACCUACUGAAGCUUUUAAAGUUUAUCCUACAAUUUUAGGUAAAAGCAUAAUCACUUUUUAGUUCUCUCUCUAUCUCUCUCGCUUUUUUUUUUUUUUUUAACGUUUGUGCUGAUUAUGCCUAAAUUUAGUGGUGCCAAUGAUUUUGGGACCUAGGGUUUUCAAAGCUUUUUGUCUCUUUAUGCAAAAUUGUUUGGCUUCGUUGCUAAGGGAAACAUUUGUGGGGAACACGUUGAAUUAAAAAUGAGAGUGUGGUCCCUUUUUUAUUCUUGGGUAUUUGAAAAUUUGCACAUUUUGAGGUUUUUAAUAGACAAAAGACUACGGAUUUGUGCUUUUGUAUUUAUAAACUAUGGCAAAAUUUCAGUAAUUUUGUACAAUGAUAGUGGUCCCUUGAAGCUCCACUUAUAUUGAAUUGGGUUUUUUAUUUCAGAAUACAAGUGUUGGUUUUCUUUUUUGGCUUAUUUCAUAAUUGAUGUGGUUCCAAUCUUUGUGUUUGACUUUUUGUUGGCUAAUGAAAUUGCGGUCCCUUUUUCUUUUACAACCAGAAGAAAGUACACUUAGAAAAAAAAUAUUAUUUGAUAUUCUAAUUUAUUUGUAUUGCAAUUAGAAGAAAAAAGAGAAUUCAAUAGAUGCAUAAAUUAAAAGGAAUGAUGAUUCAUUACAGAUGACGGUAGUAGUAGUAGAAUAAAUAAAAUGAGAGGAAUUAUUUUCUAAAGUUUGUUUGCUACAUUUGAAGGAAUUUUACUUUUUUGAUCUUGGCACAUAUAGCUUUUUGUAUUUUCUAAAAUUCCCUUGCAAUGACAAUUAAAUUUAAGCUCUCUGGAGUUAAAUAUUUAUUUUGUUUCAUAUUAUGAGAUUUUGUUCUUGGCUUCAGGCUUGUCUUGGUUACUGCUGCUUUGUAGAGUUGUGGAGUUUUACGGUGCUUCUAGUUUUCAAAAAGGUAAUUUCUUCAUUAUAAGUUAUUUUGUGUGAAUUGAGUUGAUUUGAUUUAGAAACUUUUCCCUUGCAUUGAGUUAUUUCCUUUUAUUUGGAUUAUUUAACGUUGAUUUUUAAUAAUAUUGUUUGUUUAUGUGUUAAUUAUAGUUUUGCCUUUGUGUUUGGAAUAUAGCAUGUGCUACAUGACCCCUUUACUAAUACAACAAUGAUGAAUAAUUUAUUUAUGUGUUUUUAGUGCAAAGUAUGUUAAUUAUAGUUUUGUCUUUGUGUUUGGAAUAUAGCAUGUGCUAGAUGACACCUUUACUAAUACAACAAUGAUGAAUAAUUUAUUUAUGUGCUUUUAGUACAAAGUAGAGCUUUUGCAUAUGGUUUCAAGUAAUAAAUCAUACUUUGUAGUUGAUCAUUCAUAUGUUUUGGAUUUAUUAGAAAAUCAAGUAACUGUUAAAGAUGUACAACUAAUUAACAUCCUUAUUCUUAACACUUUGCAUGACAAAUUAUAGCCACCUUCUUCAUUCCUUAAAAAAAGUUGGAAAAAUAAAAUGUACACAAGUACAGAGCAAAAGUUUUUUGGACUGAAAUUAAUAGUAAAAGUAGUAAAAGAUAAGGAAAACAGUGUCAUAAAAAUUGUUCAUAUAAAAAAUAUGUUCAAAAUCAAAAGAGAAUAUAGUAAAAAUUGGUCCAAAGUAUCAAAAUAUUAAAGUGACAGAGCUAAUUCAUAAAAGAAUAUGUUUUAUUGGUAAAAGCUACAAGCACCUAUUAUAUAAAAUAUGUUCUUAAACAAUUAUUUCUUAUAUUCAAAUAUCCAAAUUGUUGUUUUCAUGAUUUAUUUGGAAAAAUAAUGAUUAAUGACUAAUAUAGGAAUAGUAAGGAGGUACUACUUAAUAAUACUAUUAUCUUUUAUUUUAUUUAACGUAAUGGCAAUCCAAUUAAUUUCUUCCCACCUAUGUUAGUCAAGCCUUAGAUCUCUUGUUUUUAAUAUAAGAAAGUUUACAUUCCAAAUAAAUGGCACCCACUAUUAUUUCUAUUACUUACUUUUUUUUAAUCUUUCUACUCCUAUUAUAUAAUUAAUACUCAUUAAAUUAAUUAAAUAAUUAAAUAUAUCAUGUCUUUUCAGGGAGAUAUUUUCUACUUCAUACAAUGGAUAAAUCAUGGAUGUCAUCCAAUAGGUAGUCCAUUGCUUAUGAAAAAGGGGUUGCCAGCUUUAUUAAGUAUGCCAUUAAAAAUUCUGAUAACCCUAACUUUAUAAGAUGUCCAUGUGAAAAAUGUGUGAACAUGAUAUAUCGAACACCUCGAGAGGUAGUAGAUCAUCUAUUUGUGAAUGGUAUUGAUGGAAGUUACAAAGAUUGGUCUUGGCAUGGAGAGAAGACAACAUUCUCAUGCGAAGACCACUAUAAUGACCAAAAUACCAACAAUGACUUUGCUGCCACUGUUGAAAUGGUGCAUGAUGCAUUUAGAUAUUGUGAUAAUGAUGUUGAGUCAUUGAGGGAUUUAUUAGAAGAUGCUAAGAAGCCUUUAUAUCCUGGUUGCACUAAAUAUACAAAGUUAUCUGGUUUAUUGAAAUUGUACAAUGUAAAAGGGAGAUAUGGGUGGUCAGAUAAAAGUUUUUCAGAAUUGCUCAUUUGCCUUCAAGAUAUUUUUCCAGAAGAGAAUCUAUUACCUUUAUCAAUUUAUGAGGCUAAAAAAACAAUGAGUGUAUUAGGUGUACAAUAUGAGAAAAUACAUGCAUGUCCCAAUGAUUGUAUUCUCUAUCGAAAGAACUACGAGAAUCUUGUUGAAUGCCCUUCUUGUGGGCAAUCAAGAUGAAAGAAUCAAAGUAAGCACAUAGAUAAAAAAAAACUAAAGGUUCCUGCAAAGGUCCUGUGGUAUUUUCCUAUCGUUCCUAGGUUGAGACGUUUGUUUCAAUCUUCUAAAACUGUAAAGGACUUAACUUGGCAUGCACAUGGUAGAGAAAAUGAUGGUAUGCUUCGUCAUCCUGCUGACUCUCCUUCAUGGAAAUUAGUUGACAAAUUAUGGCCUGAUUUUGCCUCUGAGAUUAGAAAUGUUAGGUUUGCUCUUUGUUCUGAUGGGAUCAAUCCUUUUGGUACCCUCAGUAGCCAGUAUAGUUGCUGGCCAGUUAUACUUGUUAAUUAUAACCUUCCACCUUGGUUGUGCAUGAAAAGAAAGUUCUUGAUGUUGUCUUUGUUGAUCUCUGGGCCGCGACAACCCGGAAAUGAUAUUGAUGUUUACUUAGCACCAUUGAUUGAUGAUUUGAAAAUUUUAUGGGAUGUGGGCAUUGAAGCCUAUAAUGCGAGUAAGCAAGAAUCUUUCAUUUUACGUGCCAUGUUAAUGUGGACUAUAAGCGACUUCCCUGCAUAUGGUAAUUUAUCUGGUUGUGUUACAAAGGGAUACUAUGCUUGUCCAAUUUGCAAGGAAGGAACUGCUGCACAGUGGCUGUCGCAUAGUAAUAAAAUGGUAUAUAUAGGCCACCGACGAUUUCUUCCACGUGGUCAUUCUUUUAGAGACAAAACAAGAGUAUUUAACAAUAAGGUAGAGACUGAGUUCCCUCUUAAACCGUUGACUGGUGAGCAAAUUUUAAAGAUGGUUGAUGGCAUUGACUAUACAUAUGGGAAGAACAAGAAAAAAAUGAAACGGAAAAAGGGGGUAAGUAGUGUAAAAGGUGAUGUAAAGGUGUGUUAUAAAAAGAAAUCAAUUUUUUUUUAGCUUGUGUAUUGGAAACAUUUAUUUGUUCGACAUCAAUUAGAUGUGAUGCAUAUUGAAAAAAAUGUAUGUGAGAGCAUUUAUGACACUCUAUUAAAUAUUCCGGGUAAGACUAAAGAUGGUCUUAAAGCGAGAUUAGAUCUUGUAGAGUUAAAGAUUAGGCCUGAGUUAACUCCAAAAAAUGAGGGAAGUAGUACAAUUUUACCACCAGCUUGUUUCACAUUAAGCAGAGAGGAGAAAAUGAAGUUUUGCCAAACCUUAGUAGAUAUCAAAGUCCCUGAAGGAUACUGUUCAAACUUGAAAAAUCUUAUAUCUAUGUCAGAUUUGAAGCUUUAUGGAUUAAAAUCUCAUGAUUGUCAUGUUCUAAUGCAACAAAUCUUACCCUUAGCAAUAAGGUUAAUUUUACCAGAACAUGUUAGAAGUGUCAUCAUAAGACUUUGCUUUUUCUUCAAUGCUUUGUGCACUAAUGUCGUUGACCCAAAUAAGCUUGAUCAAUUACAACUUGACAUCGUUGAAACUCUGUGUGUGUUGGAAAAAACCUUUAUGCCUUGCUUUUUCGACAUCAUGAUUCAUUUGACUGUUCACCUAGUAGAAGAAGUUAGGCUUUGUGGUCCGGUGUGUCUUAGGUGGAUGUACCCAUUUGAAAGGGAAAUGAAACCUUUGAAAGGUUAUGUUCAUAAUCGCAACCGUCCUGAAGGAUGCAUAGCUGAGUGUUACAUGGUUGAAGAAGCAAUGGAAUUUUGUACUGAUUUCCUAUCAGUUUUAAAUGCAAUUGGAAAUCCCCCUGGACAAAAAGACAUGAUGUUAAUUGAAAAGCCUUUAACAAGUGGAGUAAUAGUAGAAGUUCGUCAUGAACUGUUGGAGCAAGCACAUCGUUAUGUGUUACAAAACACAGCAGAUGUUCAACCUUAUAUUGAGUAAGAAUCUUUUAACUUUUUUAUAUGCUUUGUCAUUUAAAACUUAUAAUUUAUAAAGAUUCAUGUCCAUGUUACAUUUUUUUAGUGAACACAUGGGGUGGUUAAAGAAACAAUAUCCUCGUAAAUCAAAAAAUACAAAAUGGUUACAAGACCUGCACCAUCGUACCUUUACUUACUGGUUGGAUGAGAAGGUUUGUUGCUAUCCAAGUUCUUUUAAAUAAGGAAAAUCUUUACCCUUUUAGUAAUACAAUACUAAUAAAUCUAAUACAUGUAGGUGUCAAACGCACAAUUAAAUGAUGAAUUAGUUUCAAAUUCAUUGAGGUGGUUAUCACAAGGACCUCGUCCAAAUGUGAUUAAAUAUCCAGGGUAUCUCAUAAAUGGAUUUUAUUUUCUAGCACGAGAUCGAGAUACGAAUCGAGUGACUCAAAAUAGUGGUGUAACUAUUGUGGCAAACACAAUGCAAAUUGCAAGUGCUAAAGACAAAAAUCCAGUAGUUAGUGACAUGACAUAUUAUGGGGUUAUCAAUGAGAUAUGGGAUAUUGAUUAUACUAUGUUCAAGGUGUUGGUGUUUAUGGUCGAUUGGGUUGACAGUGGCAACGGUAUUCAUGUUGAUGAUCUUGGUUUCACCCCUGUUGAACUCGAUCGGAUAGGUCACAAAAAUGAUUUGUUUAUCUUAGCUUCUCAAGCAAAACAAGUAUUUUAUGUUCCUGAUCAACGUGAUGAACGUCUUUCAAUUGUGUGUGCUAUGGCCCAAAAGGUCAAUGAAUCUGUGGCAAAUAAAGUUGAGGGAGACAACAUCAUCGAACAUCCUCCCUUUUUAAAUGAAGCACCAAUAAUUAAUUCGUUUGAUAAGGAAGAUGAUGAUGUUAAAAUCUAUCAUCGUCCAGGCUGGCCAAGUGUUAGAGUUGAUAAUUAACAAUCAACAGAAUAUGGCAUAUUAAACUCACAUUAUAGUAAGUGUUUUUUUUAUUAUUUUAUUUUUAGUAGUAAUUAAUAUUGUUAGUUUUAUUUUUAUUAAAUUUUUUCAGUGGUUGUUAAUACAUUCAUUAUCUAUGAUUAAUGUUUAUUUUUUAUUUUGUAGUUAAAAUUUUCUGUUAAGUUUGACUAAUACUAAUGAUUUUUAUGUUUCUUUUCUAACAGAAUGUGUGAAUCAGAAAACAAUGCUUAUGGUGGUGAAAAUAAUGAUAGUGAUCCAUUGGAUCUUAAUGGUCAACCUUCAAGAGGAAUCACUAAAAAAGCUAGUGUAUUUAAAAGACAAUCAAAUAGUGGUCAGAUCGUGGUUGAAUAUAAUGAGAGAGGAAUUCCUUGUGGAGCUGAGGCCAUUGACAUGGACCAAACUAUUGGUAUGUUGGCACGUCAAGUGAUACCUAUCGUGUACAAUGAUUGGCGUAAAGUUCCUCAAAUUUAUAAAGAAGAGUUAUGGAAAUACAUCCAGGUAAUGUUUCAAGUAUUUAAAAAACUUAAAGGAGAAUCAGUUUUGUAGUUAAUUCUUUAGGCCAAUAAAAGGAUAAUAGUUUACUUGAUGUGUGUAAACCUCUGUAUAGUUCUAUAUGAGGCAUGAUUUUUCAGAUUGUGAUAUUUAUUUUGGUUGAUAUAAUGCUUUUGAAAAUGAUAACAGCUUAUGGUUUGAUUAUUUACAAUUUUAUUCCUAUCAUUUAAAAAUAUAAAGAGUUUCACAUGUUGUUUUCAGUUAUUCAUUUUUUCAGCAUGUUUAAUUGUAGAAACUAUUUAAAGUGGAUGUAUGCUCCAAAAAACAAGUUAUCAUGCAAAUGGGAACAGCACAUAGUCAGUUUCGUCACAACUUGUAUGUCACUUAUAUUGUCCCAAACAAGCAUAAUCGUAGAGAAUUACAGA